AAGUCGUAACAAGGUUUCCGUAGGUGAACCUGCGGAAGGAUCAUUCAUAAUAAGUGUUUUAUGGCACUUUUUAAAUCCAUAUCCACCUUGUGUGCAAUGUCAGUCGAUCUUCUUCAUGGAGAUCGACCAAACAUCAACCUUAUCUUUUAACUCUUUGUCUGAAAAAUAUUAUGAAUAAACAAUUCAAAAUACAACUUUCAACAACGGAUCUCUUGGCUCUC
rnacentral:misc_RNA from 1 species